UACAGAGGUCUCAAGCGUUGUUCGGAUUCAUUGGGCGUAAAGCGUCUGUAGGUGGCUUUUUAAGUCCGCCGUCAAAUCCCAGGGCUCAACCCUGGACAGGCGGUGGAAACUACCAAGCUGGAGUACGGUAGGGGCAGAGGGAAUUUCCGGUGGAGCGGUGAAAUGCGUAGAGAUCGGAAAGAACACCAACGGCGAAGGCAGCAUUCUGGCUCGGACCUGACGCUCAUGUGCGAAAGCUAGGGGAGCGAACGGG
rnacentral:rRNA from 1 species